UAGGGAAUCUUCGGCAAUGGGGGCAACCCUGACCGAGCAACGUCGCGGGAGUGAAGAAGGUUUUCGGAUCGUAAAGCUCUGUUGUAAGAGAAGAACGUGUGUGAGAGUGGAAAGUUCACACAGUGACGGUAACUUACCAGAAAGGGACGGCUAACUACGUGCCAGCAGCCGCGGUAAUACGCAGGUCCCGAGCGUUGUCCGGUUUUAUUGGGCGUAAAGUGAGCGCGGGCGGGUUAAUAAGUCAGAAGUUAAAGGCAGUGGCUUAACCAUUGUUCGCUUUGGAAAAUAUUAUGCUUGAGUACAGAAGGGGAGAGUGGAAUUCCAUGUGUAGCGGUGAAGUGCUGAGAAAAAUGGAGGAACACCGGUCGCGAAGGCGGCUCUCUGGUCUGUAACUGACGCUGAGGCUCGGAAGCGUGGGGAGCAAAGAGG
rnacentral:rRNA from 1 species